rnacentral:rRNA from 1 species
UCUGCCUUGUAGUGGGGGAUAACUUGCCGAAAGGUAAGCUAAUACCGCAUACGCCCUAAGGGGGAAAGCAGGGGACUCUUCGGAGCCUUGCGCUAUUAGAUGAGCCUAGGUCGGAUUAGUUAGUUGGUGGGGUAAUGGCUCACCAAGACCGCGAUCCGUAACUGGUCUGAGAGGAUGAUCAGUCACACUGGAACUGAGACACGGUCCAGACUCCUACGGGAGGCAGCAGUGGGGAAUAUUGGACAAUGGGGGGAACCCUGAUCCAGCCAUGCCGCGUGUGUGAAGAAGGCCUUCGGGUUGUAAAGCACUUUAAUUUGGGAGGAAGGGCUUACGGUUAAUAACCGCUAAGUUUUGACGUUACCAAAAGAAUAAGCACCGGCUAACUUCGUGCCAGCAGCCGCGGUAAUACGAAGGGUGCGAGCGUUAAUCGGAAUUACUGGGCGUAAAGCGCGCGUAGGUGGUUCAUUAAGUUAGGAGUGAAAGCCCCGGGCUCAACCUGGGAAUUGCUUCUAAAACUGGUGAGCUAGAGUACGGUAGAGGGUGGUGGAAUUUCCUGUGUAGCGGUGAAAUGCGUAAAUAUAGGAAGGAACAUCAGUGGCGAAGGCGACCACCUGGACUGAUACUGACACUGAGGUGCGAAAGCGUGGGGAGCAAACAGGAUUAAAUACCCUGGUAGUCCACGCCGUAAACGAUGUCAACUA